GAUGAACGCUGACAGAAUGCUUAACACAUGCAAGUCUACUUGAAUUUGGGUUUUUAACUUAGGUUUGGGUGGCGGACGGGUGAGUAACGCGUAAAGAACUUGCCUCACAGUUAGGGACAACAUUUAGAAAUGAAUGCUAAUACCUAAUAUUAUGAUAAUAGGGCAUCCUAUAAUUAUGAAAGCUAUAUGCGCUGUGAGAGAGCUUUGCGUCCCAUUAGCUAGUUGGAGAGGUAACGGCUCACCAAGGCGAUGAUGGGUAGCCGGCCUGAGAGGGUGAUCGGCCACAAGGGGACUGAGACACGGCCCUUACUCCUACGGGAGGCAGCAGUGGGGAAUAUUGGACAAUGGACCGAGAGUCUGAUCCAGCAAUUCUGUGUGCACGAUGAAGUUUUUCGGAAUGUAAAGUGCUUUCAGUUGGGAAGAAAGAAAUGACGGUACCAACAGAAGAAGUGACGGCUAAAUACGUGCCAGCAGCCGCGGUAAUACGUAUGUCACGAGCGUUAUCCGGAUUUAUUGGGCGUAAAGCGCGUCUAGGUGGUUAUAUAAGUCUGAUGUGAAAAUGCAGGGCUCAACUCUGUAUUGCGUUGGAAACUGUAUAACUAGAGUACUGGAGAGGUAAGCGGAACUACAAGUGUAGAGGUGAAAUUCGUAGAUAUUUGUAGGAAUGCCGAUGGGGAAGCCAGCUUACUGGACAGAUACUGACGCUGAAGCGCGAAAGCGUGGGUAGCAAACAGG
rnacentral:rRNA from 1 species